GACGAACGCUGGCGGCGUGCUUAACACAUGCAAGUCGAACGGAAAGGCCCUGCUUUUGUGGGGUGCUCGAGUGGCGAACGGGUGAGUAACACGCGAGUAACCUGUCCUUGACUUUGGGAUAACUUCAGGAAACUGGGGCUAAUACCGGAUAGGAGCUCCUGCUGCAUGGUGGGGGUUGGAAAGUUUCGGCGGUUGGGGAUGGACUCGCGGCUUAUCAGCUUGUUGGUGGGGUGGUGGCUUACCAAGGCUUGGACGGGUAGCCGGCCUGAGAGGGUGACCGGCCACAAUGGGACUGAGAGACGGCCGAGGCGCCUACGGGAGGAUGCGGGAGAGAAUAAUGCACAAUGGGCGGAAGACUGAUGCAGCAACGCCGCGUGCGGGAUGACGGCCUUCGGGUUGUAAACCGCUUUCGCCUGUUACGAAGCGUGAGAGACGGUAAUGGGUGAAGAAGCACCGGCUAACUACG
rnacentral:rRNA from 1 species